rnacentral:piRNA from 1 species
UUCUAGCUUCUCCACUCGCUCCCUCAGGUC